CGCUUUUGCUCUCCUCCAUCCAUCCACACGAGCGAGCUGCACACAGCGAGAGACGCCGAUCACAGAGGAGCACGAUGAGGUAGAGGAGGAGGAGGAGGAGGAAGGAGGAAGCAGAAGCAUCCGCGACGGAAAGAUCAGCGUUUCGGGACAAGUUGGGACGACACCGACACGGACGACAACACGGGCUGCAGAUGUGACAGCAAGAAGAGCUGCGAGGUGUUUAUCCAGGAGCUUAAUGUCACCAGACUCAGAGACAGUAUGAAGAGACGGAGCCCAUAUUGCGUUGGAUGAGAGCCAGCUGUGUCAGGUACGGCAUGCUACACUGACCUCAGCUUCCUGUCCGUUUGUCAAAUCGCUGCUCAGUCAGGGGUGUAGCCUAUUUCUGGUUUUAAAAGGC
rnacentral:lncRNA from 1 species